AACGAAAGAACAUAAUGUGCCCUUGAGAUCUGGAGGGGGAUUGUUGAAAUCUAAGAUGGGCCUAAAGCCCAUAAGACAAUUUCAGAAAAUAUCUAAGGGCCCAUGUAGGUGGUGGCAUGACAAGGUGGUGGUGGGAAGUUUAGUCCCACCCCACUAGUGGAGAAGGAGUUGGACCCCUUUAUAAGGGUCUCUCUUCUACAUGCUAUUGUAUCAUGAGAAGAGAAGAGGCCCUCGCGCACUCCUCCUCCGCCACCCGCCUCGCCAUGCCACGCCUCGUCAUGACGCGCCGCGGGUUGUGGGAA
rnacentral:lncRNA from 1 species